rnacentral:rRNA from 1 species
AAUCAACGCUGGCGGCGUGCCUCAGACAUGCAAGUCGAACGCGAAAGUCCCCUUCGGGGACGAAGUAGAGUGGCGCACGGGUGAGUAACACGUAGGUAAUCUACCUUCGGAUGGGGAAUAACAACCGGAAACGGUUGCUAAUACCGCAUAAUGCAGCGGCACCUAAUGGUGACAGUUGUUAAAGCGGGGGAGUCGAAAGACCUCGCGUCUGAAGAGGAGCCUGCGGCGGAUUAGCUAGNGGUAAGGUAAUGGCUUACCAAGGCUACGAUCCGUAACCGGCCUGAGAGGGCGGUCGGUCACACUGACACUGACAUACGGGUCAGACUCCUACGGGAGGCAGCAGUCGGGAA